rnacentral:rRNA from 1 species
UGGGGAAUAUUGCACAAUGGGCGCAAGCCUGAUGCAGCAACGCCGCGUGGAGGAAGACGGUUUUCGGAUUGUAAACUCCUGUUCUUAGUGAAGAAAAUGACGGUAGCUAAGGAGCAAGCCACGGCUAACUACGUGCCAGCAGCCGCGGUAAUACGUAGGUGGCAAGCGUUGUCCGGAAUUACUGGGUGUAAAGGGAGCGCAGGCGGGGGAGCAAGUCAGCUGUGAAAUCUAUGGGCUUAACCCAUAAACUGCAGUUGAAACUGUUCUUCUUGAGUGAAGUAGAGGUUGGCGGAAUUCCGAGUGUAGCGGUGAAAUGCGUAGAUAUUCGGAGGAACACCGGUGGCGAAGGCGGUCAACUGGGCUUUUACUGACGCUGAGGCUCGAAAGUGUGGGGAGCAAACAGGAUUAGAUACCCUGGUAGU